AUUGAACGCUGGCGGCAGGCCUAACACAUGCAAGUCGAGCGGAUGAAGGGAGCUUGCUCCUGGAUUCAGCGGCGGACGGGUGAGUAAUGCCUAGGAAUCUGCCUGGUAGUGGGGGAUAACGUCCGGAAACGGGCGCUAAUACCGCAUACGUCCUGAGGGAGAAAGUGGGGGAUCUUCGGACCUCACGCUAUCAGAUGAGCCUAGGCCGGAUUAGCUAGUUGGUGGGGUAAAGGCCUACCAAGGCGACGAUCCGUAACUGGUCUGAGAGGAUGAUCAGUCACACUGGAACUGAGACACGGUCCAGACUCCUACGGGAGGCAGCAGUGGGGAAUAUUGGACAAUGGGUGAAAGCCUGAUCCAGCCAUGCCGCGUGUGUGAAGAAGGUCUUCGGAUUGUAAAGCACUUUAAGUUGGGAGGAAGGGCAGUAAGUUAAUACCUUGCUGUUUUGACGUUACCAACAGAAUAAGCACCGGCUAACUUCGUG
rnacentral:rRNA from 1 species